rnacentral:rRNA from 1 species
UUUGAGUAUUAUAGAAGGUAACGCCUGCCCAGUGACUAUAUGUUAAACGGCCGCGGUAUACUGACCGUGCAAAGGUAGCGUAAUCACUUGUCUUUUAAAUGGAGACUAGUAUGAAUGGCAUCACGAGAACUAAUCUGUCUCCCCCCCCCAAUCAGUGAAACUGAUCUCCCCGUGCAGAAGCGGGGAUAAUACCAUAAGACGAGAAGACCCUGUGGAGCUUAAAAUCAAAAAUCAACUGCUUCACCCACCUUUACUAAAGGAAACAUUUUCCACAGACCUGAUCUAGAUUUUUAGCUGGGGCGGCUGUGGAGAAAAACAAAUCCUCCACGAAUAUUUAUGCUAAAAGCUACCGCCAUAGGCAUUAAUAAACUUAACUUUAAUUGACCCAAUUUUUGAUCAACGGACCA